AAAAAGAGGCUUUAUAUGAGAACGGAUGAAGCGUUCGAGAGUUGGGACAGGGAAAUGAAGCACUGGAACGACACUGCUUAAAUUGAAGCACAGUGUGCGAAUGACCUGCUACGCUCGGAACUGUUAUCACCAUUCGGGAAGAAAUCAGUCAAGACGCUUGUCUGGUUGUCAUUGCGGAAAAGUCAUAAUUAAUUAGAAGUUGGUUUCGUUCCUUCCCACAGAUGAAAAAACAAAACUUUUUUAUGAGCACUGUAACUAUCCAAGCUUCACUCUCGACGGUGACAGAGAAAUGCCGGAUGCUAUAGCGUUCAGAGCCAAGAACAUGGGAACGUCUGAAAGAGAGCCUCCCGGGCAGUAUGGGAAACUCUCACAGCACACCAGCUCUGUCCUUUAGCUAUAUCAUACUAUUUCAGGGAACAAAGACUACUUGCAAAUUGUUAACACUGCUGCACGAAAAGAAUUAUGUAUUUUAUGAUUGCAAAAUAAACACCUAAAAAGAGAAAACAUUGCGUUCACGUGUUUCUUUUGUUGCGUGUUGCAUAUGUACACUAACGAGUA